ncrna:unclassified sequences Glutamine riboswitch
AUCGUUCAUCCCUUAGGGGGACGGAAGUAGUCGCAAGACGAAGGAACGCAUU